CUACGGGGCGCACCAGGCGAGAAAACUUUGCAAUGUGCGAAAGCACGACAAGGUUAAUCCGAGUGGUUUCUGCUAAAGGAACCUUUUGUCGGUCCUAGAAACACCGAUGAAUAAGGGGUGGGCAAGUUCUGGUGUCAGCCGCCGCGGUAAAACCAGCACCUCAAGUGGUCAGGAUGAUUAUUGGGCCUAAAGCAUCCGUAGCCGGCUCUGUAAGUUUUCGGUUAAAUCUGUACGCUCAACGUACAGGCUGCCGGGAAUACUGCAGAGCUAGGGAGUGGGAGAGGUAGACGGUACUCGGUAGGGAGGGGUAAAAUCCUUUGAUCUAUUGAUGACCACCUGUGGCGAAGGCGGUCUACCAGAACACGUCCGACGGUGGGGGAUGAAAGCUGGGGGAGCAAACCGGAUUAGAUACCCCCGUAGUC
rnacentral:rRNA from 1 species